rnacentral:lncRNA from 1 species
UGUCCAGAGGCAAGCAACUAGCUUUGAGUCUAUGCCAGAUGAAUCUUGGUUGAAGAAAGUGAAGAUUUUCCACCCCGAAGAGAAGAAGACUUAGGAAGGCUAUGAUUGGUGUGUUCCAUUUUCUGAAUGGAUGGUCCAAUGAAAGAAAGAUUAGAUUUGUUCUGUUUGGCUCCUGAAGGCAGAGCCAGCAGAAAUCAGUAGAAAUUCUAUGUAGUAAGUUUAGUUUGAAGCUUAUUAGAAUGUUGUUUAAAUGAAAUGCCCAGAGCAAAACUCAGUAAUCCAUGUACUAUCUGAUCCCAACCCAACAUAGGAACAGCAUCACCCUCUCAAUCCUGGAGACAAUGCUUCUCUUUCUGAAGUCCAAGAGAAAAUGAGGUCUUCUGGCUGACACCUUUCCCUGAGCCAAUCCUGUGAAACGCUCAGAUCUAUUUUCAGACAAACGGCUGUCGGAUCGCACUUCUCUUACACUAUUCAUCAGCCAUUCCAUUAUAGGCAUCUAUCCAAAGCAUCAACAAAUAUGUUCUCUCUAUAACUUUGCCUAAGUUGGAGAAUUUGGGAGGGUAGAAAGAACCUUCUGGAAUCCUCAAUCCACACUCCGUAUUUUUGUCCCUCUGUUCCUGGGAUGCACCUUUCAUAUAGUCACCAGCUGGAAAAUUGGACACAUGCUAAAUACAGAGGUCCAGGAUGGAUUGCCACAAGGAUACUUCAUUGUUUACAAAGUGUUCCUAUCAUCAACUGGAAGUUAGGGGUAGCAACUGUCAGCUCCAUUUUACUGAUCACCUGAAGAGACACUGGAAUAUGGAGGAAAUGGGACCUGAGCUUGAAUCAGAGGACCAAGUUACACCAUGGAAAAAGGGACAGAUUUUGUGGAAUAAGACAUAGGUUCAAAUCCCAGCAUGACAAUAUCCUAUCUGUGCAAAUUUGGGCAAGUCACUUAACCCAUCUGAGCUUGAGUUUCAUUUGCCUCUAAGAUCCCCUCCAGUCAUAGAUUUCUUACCCUAUUACCCAGAUCAGUGGUUCCCAUUUAAACCCCAUUUAGUGGUUCUAAAACCCCUUGAUUCUAGGGUUCACAAUAAAAAUUUUUUGAUGACACA